rnacentral:rRNA from 1 species
CUGGCUCAGGAUGAACGCUGGCGGCGUGCUUAACACAUGCAAGUCGAACGGAGUUAUUCGCUGCAGAGGCUUCGGCCAAAGCUGAGUAAACUUAGUGGCGGACGGGUGAGUAACGCGUGGGUAACCUGCCUCAUACAGGGGGAUAACAGUUGGAAACGACUGUUAAUACCGCAUAAGCGCACAGAGCUGCAUGGCUCAGUGUGAAAAACUCCGGUGGUAUGAGAUGGACCCGCGUCUGAUUAGCUAGUUGGAGGGGUAACGGCCCACCAAGGCAACGAUCAGUAGCCGACUUGAGAGAGUGAUCGGCCACAUUGGGACUGAGACACGGCCCAAACUCCUACGGGAGGCAGCAGUGGGGAAUAUUGCACAAUGGGGAAACCCUGAUGCAGCGAACCGCCGCGUGAGUGAAGAAGUAUUUCGGUAUGUAAAGCUCUAUCAGCAGGGAAGAUAAUGACGGUACCUGACUAAGAAGCCCCGGCUAACUACGUGCCAGCAGCAGC